rnacentral:rRNA from 1 species
UACGGGGGGGGCAAGCGUUGUUCGGAAUUACUGGGCGUAAAGCGCACGUAGGCGGCUCUUUAAGUCGGGGGUGAAAUCCUGGAGCUCAACUCCAGAACUGCCUUCGAUACUGUAGAGCUUGAGUUCGGGAGAGGUGAGUGGAACUGCGAGUGUAGAGGUGAAAUUCGUAGAUAUUCGCAAGAACACCAGUGGCGAAGGCGGCUCACUGGCCCGAUACUGACGCUGAGGCGCGAAAGCGUGGGGAGCAAACAGG